rnacentral:rRNA from 1 species
AGCGAACGUUUGCGGCGGGCUUAACACAUGCAAGUCGAACGAGAAUCCCUUCGGGGAGGAAAGUGGCGCACGGGUGCGUAACACGUGGAUAACCAACCCAUUGGUUUGGGACAACACCGGGAAACUGGUGCUAAUACCAGAUGUGUCGCAGCUGUCUUCAGGCGGUUGCGAGAAAGGCCCGCAAGGGUCGCCAACGGACGGGUCCGCGUCCCAUCAGCUAGUUGGUGAGGUAAUGGCUCACCAAGGCAAAGACGGGUAGCUGGUCUGAGAGGAUGAUCAGCCACACUGGAACUGAGACACGGUCCAGACUCCUACGGGAGGCAGCAGUGGGGAAUAUUGCGCAAUGGGCGAAAGCCUGACGCAGCCACGCCGCGUGAGCGAUGAAGGUCUUCGGAUCGUAAAGCUCUGUGGGGGGAGAAGAAGAAAGCCGGUGAAGAGCCGGCCCUGACGGUAUCCCCUUAGCGAGCACCGGCUAACUCCGUGCCAGCAGCCGCGGUAAAGUCG